GACGAACGCUGGCGGCGUGCUUAACACAUGCAAGUCGAACGGAAAGGCCUCUUUCGGGGGGUACUCGAGUGGCGAACGGGUGAGUAACACGUGAGUAACCUGCCCUUGACUUUGGGAUAACUUCAGUAAACUGGGGCUAAUACCGGAUAGGAGCUCCUGCUGCAUGGUGGGGGUUGGAAAGUUUCGGCGGUUGGGGAUGGACUCGCGGCUUAUCAGCUUGUUGGUGGGGUAGUGGCUUACCAAGGCUUUGACGGGUAGCCGGCCUGAGAGGGUGACCGGCCACAUUGGGACUGAGAUACGGCCCAGACUCCUACGGGAGGCAGCAGUGGGGAAUAUUGCACAAUGGGUGGAAGCCUGAUGCAGCAACGCCGUGUGCGGGAUGACGGCCUUCGGGUUGGAAACCGCUUUCGCUCAUGACGAAGCUUUGUGUGACGGUAGUGGGUAAAGAAGCACCGGCUAACUACGUG
rnacentral:rRNA from 1 species